rnacentral:rRNA from 1 species
GUAGGGAAUCUUCCACAAUGGACGAAAGUCUGAUGGAGCAACGCCGCGUGAGUGAAGAAGGGUUUCGGCUCGUAAAGCUCUGUUGUCGGGGACGAAUGUGCAGUAUUUGAAUAAAGUAGUGCAAUGACGGUACCUGACGAGGAAGCCACGGCUAACUACGUGCCAGCAGCCGCGGUAAUACGUAGGUGGCAAGCGUUGUCCGGAAUUAUUGGGCGUAAAGGGAGCGCAGGCGGGAAGGUAAGUCGGUCUUAAAAGUGCGGGGCUCAACCCCGUGAUGGGAUCGAAACUAUCUUUCUUGAGUGCAGGAGAGGAAAGUGGAAUUCCUAGUGUAGCGGUGAAAUGCGUAGAUAUUAGGAGGAACACCAGUGGCGAAGGCGACUUUCUGGACUGUAACUGACGCUGAGGCUCGAAAGCCAGGGGAGCGAACGGGAUUAGAAACCCUUGUAGUCC